rnacentral:tRNA from 1 species
GGCGAGGUAGCUCAGUUGGUUAGAGCGCAGGAUUCAUACCCCUGAGGUCGACAGUUCGACCCUGUCUCUCGCUA